rnacentral:tRNA from 1 species
GUGCUAAAAGUAGAAGGUUAGUUGAUCUUGGGACUCAUAAUCCCUUGGUCGUAGGUUCAAGUCCUACUGGGCCCACCA